UUGCUCAAAAUUUUUUUUCCUCAAUUUUUUUUUCCUCAAAAUUUUUUUUUCCUCAAAAUAUUUUUCCUCAAAAAGUUUUUCUUCUAAUUUUUUUUUCAUUUCCUUAUUCGUUUUCUUUUUCCUUUUUCGAUUAUCAUCCUUAUUCGAUUUCCAUUUCCUUAGUCGAUUUUCACUUCCUUAUUCGAUUUUCUUUUCCCUAUUCGGUUUCUUCUUCCUUUUUCAAUAUUCAUUUCCUUUUUCGGUUUCUAUUUCCUUAUUCGGUUUCUAUUUCCUUAAUGGAUUUUCAUUUCCUUAUUCGAUUUCCAUUUCCUUAAUCAAUUUUCAUUUCCUUAUUCGGUUUCUUUUUCCUUUUUCAAUAUUCAUUUCCUUAUUCGGUUUCUAUUUCCUUAUUCAGUUUCUAUUUCCUUAUUGGAUUUUCAUUUCCUUAUUCGGUUUCUUUUUCCUUUUUCAACAUUCAUUUCCUUUUUCGGUUUCUAGUUCCUUAUUCAGUUUCUAUUUCCUUAUUGGAUUUUCAUUUCCUUAUUCAAUUUCAAUUUCCUUAUUCGGUUUCUUUUUCCUUAUUCGGUUUCUUUUUCCUUAUUCGGUUUCUUUUUCCUUUUUCAAUAUUCAUUUCCUUUUUUCGGUUUCUGUUUCCUUAUUCGGUUUCUAUUUCCUUAUUCGGU
rnacentral:lncRNA from 1 species